AGCGCGCAAAUUACCCAAUCCAAACACUGGGAGGUAGUGACGAGAAAUACUGGUGGCGCUCCUAGAGAGCGUCGUCCUGAAUGAACGUAACAUAAAAAAUUCGAUGAGGAUCUACUGGAGGGCAAGUCUGGUGCCAGCAGCCGCGGUAAUUCCAGCUCCAGUAGUGUAUAUCAACAUUGUUGCGCUUAAAACGCUCGUAGUUGGAUUACAGGACUGCAAACACAGCCCUGCUUUGCUGUGGAGGUGGUCGUAGCAAGCCAACUGCUAGGCUGGUUUGACUCCGGCAAGGUCAAUCAGGCCAGUUUCUGGCAGAAGGUAGCUCGAUGCAGUCCUUUUGUCGCACUGGUGCCUGAAGGCAGCUUUGUUGCUGCUAGAUGGAUACCGGUGGAGUGUGCCUUGAAUAAAGCAUAGUGCUCAAUGCAGGCGUACGCUCGGUGUGUAAUAGCAUGGAACGAAUAUUUUUGACCGGUUGCUGUGCGUUGUUGGUUUUGCCGGCAGCUGCAGUUACUGGGUUCGAUCAGUGUUGGUUUGAACCACGGUCUCAACGGUUAAAAGGGACAUCUGAGGGCACUAGUACUUUGUGGCGAGAGGUGAAAUUCUUAGACCCACAAAAGACUCACUAUUGCGAAAGCAUUUGCCAAGAAUGUUUUCAUUAAUCAAGAACGAAGGUCAGAGGAUCGAAGACGAUCAGAUACCGUCCUAGUUUUGACAGCAAACAAUGCCAGCAUAGGGUCGUGACGGUCACUCAUGUGAAUGGGUUGAACUACUGCGGUCCUUAGGGGAAACUUAGCUUUCGGGCUGCUGGGAGAAUAUCGCUGCAAGGCUGAAAUUUAAAGAAAUUGACGGAGAGGCACCACCAGGAGUGGAGCCUGCGGCUUAAUUUGACUCAACACGGGAAAACUCACCAGGUCCAGACAUUGGUAGGAUUGACAGAUUGGUAGAUCUUUCAUGAUUCAGUGAAUGGUGGUGCAUGGCCGUUCUUAGUUGGUGGAGUGAUCUGUCAGGUUUAUUCCGGUAACGAUCGAGACCACGGCCUUUAGUUGGUAGUGAGGUGUGGCGCACUGCAACCACCGUAAGGUGGCCGUAGGGUUGCUUGCCUUGUGGCUUAACUAGAGGGACUAUCGGUGAAAAGCCGGCGGAAGCGUGGCAAUAACAGGUCUGUGAUGCCCUUCGAUGUCCUGGGCUGCACGCGCGCUACAAUGGCAGCAGUAGAGAGUUGGCUGGCCAGAAAUGGUUGGCAAACCUGUAAAUAGCUGUCGUGAUAGGGAUUGAGCCUUGUAAUUAUUGCUCAUGAAAGAGGAAUUCCUCGUAAGCACGAGUCAUCAGCUUGUGUUGAAUACGUCUCUGCCUCUUGUACACACCGCCCGUCGCUACUACCGAUUGAAUUGCUUCU
rnacentral:rRNA from 1 species